AACGAACGCUGGCGGCAUGCCUAACACAUGCAAGUCGAACGAGACCUGCGGGUCUAGUGGCGAACGGGUGCGUAACGGGUGGGAACAUGCCCUUAGGUUCGGAAGAACUCCCCGAAAGGCGUGCUAAUACCGGAUCAUGUCUUCGAACCAAAGAUUUAUCGCCUUUGGAUGGGCCCGCGUUGGAUUAGCUAGUUGGUAGGGUAAAAGCCUACCAAGGCGACGAUCCAUAGCUGGUCUGAGAGGAUGAUCAGCCACACUGGGACUGAGACACGGCCAAGACUCUUACGGGAGGGAGCAGUGGCGAAUAUUGGAAAAUGGGCUAAAGCCUGAUCCACCAAUGCCGGGUGAGUGAUGAAGGUCUGGGGGUUGUAAAGCUCUUUUACACGUGAUGAUAAUGACGUUACCGGGAGAAUAAGCUCCGGCUAACUCCGUG
rnacentral:rRNA from 1 species